rnacentral:rRNA from 1 species
AUUGAACGCUGGCGGCAGGCCUAACACAUGCAAGUCGAACGAGUGGCGGACGGGUGAGUAAUGUCUGGGAAACUGCCCGAUGGAGGGGGAUAACUACUGGAAACGGUAGCUAAUACCGCCUACCAUCGGAUGUGCCCAGAUGGGAUUAGCUAGUAGUUGGGGGACCGGCUCACCUAGGCGACGAUCCCUAGCUGGUCUGAGAGGAUGACCAGCCAAACUGGAACUGAGAAACGGUCCAGACUCCUAAGGGAGGCAGCAGUGGGGAAUAGUGCACAAUGGGCGCAAGCCUGAUGCAGCCAUGCCGCGUGUAUGAAGAAGGCCUUCGGGUUGUAAAGUACUUUCAGCGAGGAGGCGUUACUCGCAGAAGAAGCACCGGCUAACUCCGUGCCAGCAGCCGCGGUAAUAC